AGCCCUAGCAUUCGUUCAGUGCAGCCCUCUCUCUCUCUCUGCCUCUGUAAAAUCUAAAAGAGAAGAAAGCUUCUCAAAAACCCUAGUUGCUUCUUUACUAUUGGUGAUUCCACCCAUCCCCUAGCUAGGAACUGUAACAGCGGAACAACCAAGACUGCUCGAUCCUUGGCCGCAUCAGUCGAAUCGAGAGGGGGUACAGGUACGCCAGUGCUUUUCUUUGGCUAUCCCAGCUAUCGAGCUGGACUAAUUGACACUGCUUCACUCCCUGGUCUUUCUUUCUCUCCGAAGGCUUCAACGAGAAAAGAGGGGUUAACCUUGGCCCGGAGAAAGUCAGGCUAGCAACGCCUAAAUAAGAUGCCAUCUCUCUCCCCGUCUCUGUAAUUCAGCCGUAGCGGCAUCCCCACUUCUCAAGUUCAGAUUUCUACUAUUCUUCUAACUCUCAACUUAUUUCCUUCAUGGCCUCCCUUCAGGUUGGAUUCCACCAAAGGAUCAUAUAUCAAGGACUGGGCUAAAUGGGAGAAUCAAUUACGAGAGGUUCUAUUUGGCAAUGCUUAAUAUCUUAAUUCUAUAUAGGUUCCGUUUGAGUUUGCUGUUAAACAAGUGUUGGAACAACGAAGAACUAUUGCAAAGGUGGUUAUUUAGUGACAAGUGCUGAGAAAAGGAAAUUGGGGACCAUUGUUUUUGCUGCUGUCAGCCUUUCUGUCAGUGAAAUCCAAAGUCUUCUCAAUAAGGUGGACGUUGACAAGUUACGUGCAAUUAUUGCUUCAAAUUUGCUUUUAGAUGACAAUAACAAAAUGAAGAAUUUUGUAAAGAACGAAGCACUUUAUACAUGUGGUUAAGCACGUUGAUUUCAACCAACAAGGUACCAUUUACCUCAAGUAACCUCACUAUCUCCAUCUUAAUCCAUCAAGGCGUAUAAGAUUUACAGAGAUAAAAUGGUUAUUUGUUCCAACUACACAGAGACAGAAAGAAUGCAUAUCCAUCAAAUACACAAACAAGAGGACUCUCACUAGGACCACACAAAGGAUAAGGGCAACAAAUUGGUUUACCACAGAACAAGGAAAUACAUACCUACAUUUGCCCAAUUGAAAGCUAGAGGAAGUGGGAUAGGAGGAUGGUUGAAUUUUCUAAAAAGUACUUGAAAUGAUGUGGGAUAUGGGACAUUUGUAAUGUUAAAUAGUGUCAAUUUUUUUUGCAUAUAUUUUGCAAUCUGUUGGUGUUAGCUAUUUUUUAAGUUUUAAAGAAGAGUAGCUUUGCAACUUUUGAUUGUGGAUUAGGUUGGUAUGUUUUUGCAACUAUUGUAUGGCUUAUUAUACUGGUAUCUACCUUAGAUAGAAUCAAAUGAAGUUGUUCUUUUG